rnacentral:rRNA from 1 species
AGUGAACGCUGGCGGUAGGCCUAACACAUGCAAGUCGAACGGCAGCACAGUAAGAGCUUGCUCUUACGGGUGGCGAGUGGCGGACGGGUGAGGAAUACAUCGGAAUCUACUUUUUCGUGGGGGAUAACGUAGGGAAACUUACGCUAAUACCGCAUACGACCUACGGGUGAAAGCAGGGGAUCUUCGGACCUUGCGCGAAUGAAUGAGCCGAUGUCGGAUUAGCUAGUUGGCGGGGUAAAGGCCCACCAAGGCGACGAUCCGUAGCUGGUCUGAGAGGAUGAUCAGCCACACUGGAACUGGGACACGGUCCAGACUCCUACGGGAGGCAGCAGUGGGGAAUAUUGGACAAUGGGCGCAAGCCUGAUCCAGCCAUACCGCGUGGGUGAAGAAGGCCUUCGGGUUGUAAAGCCCUUUUGUUGGGAAAGAAAAGCAGCAGGUUAAUACCCCGCUGUUCUGACGGUACCCAGAGAAUAAGCACCGGCUAACUUCGUG